rnacentral:tRNA from 1 species
UGCUUGGGUAGCUCAGUUGGUAGAGCACUUGCCCGCACAAGGCAAAGGUCCCGAGUUCGAGUCUCGGUCCGGCAC